GUGCCAGCAGCGGCGGUAAUACGUAGGGUCCGAGCGUUGUCCGGAAUUAUUGGGCGUAAAGGGCUCGUAGGCGGUCUGUCGCGUCGGGAGUGAAAACUCAGGGCCUCAACCCUGAGCGUGCUUCCGAUACGGGCAGACUAGAGGUAUGCAGGGGAGAACGGAAUUCCUGGUGUAGCGGUGGAAUGCGCAGAUAUCAGGAGGAACACCGGUGGCGAAGGCGGUUCUCGUGGGCAUUACCUGACGCUGGAGGAGCGAAAGCAGUGGGGA
rnacentral:rRNA from 1 species